GAUGAACGCUGGCGGCGUGCUUAACACAUGCAAGUCGAACGGAAAGGCUCCUGCUUGCAGGGGUACUCGAGUGGCGAACGGGUGAGUAACACGUGGGUGAUCUGCCCUGCACUUCGGGAUAAGCCUGGGAAACUGGGUCUAAUACCGGAUAGGACGAUGGUUUGGAUGCCAUUGUGGAAAGUUUUUUCGGUGUGGGAUGAGCUCGCGGCCUAUCAGCUUGUUGGUGGGGUAAUGGCCUACCAAGGCGUCGACGGGUAGCCGGCCUGAGAGGGUGUACGGCCACAUUGGGACUGAGAUACGGCCCAGACUCCUACGGGAGGCAGCAGUGGGGAAUAUUGCACAAUGGGCGCAAGCCUGAUGCAGCGACGCCGCGUAGGGGAUGACGGCCUUCGGGUUGUAAACUCCUUUCGCUAGGGACGAAGCGCAAGUGACGGUACCUGGAGAAGAAGCACCGGCUAACUACGUG
rnacentral:rRNA from 1 species